rnacentral:rRNA from 1 species
CAGCCGCCGCGGUAAUACGUAGGUGGCAAGCGUUGUCCGGAAUUAUUGGGCGUAAAGGGCUCGCAGGCGGUUUCUUAAGUCUGAUGUGAAAGCCCCCGGCUCAACCGGGGAGGGUCAUUGGAAACUGGGAAACUUGAGUGCAGAAGAGGAGAGUGGAAUUCCACGUGUAGCGGUGAAAUGUGUAGAGAUGUGGAGGAACACCAGUGGCGAAGGCGACUCUCUGGUCUGUAACUGACGCUGAGGAGCGAAAGCGUGGGGAGCGAACAGGAUUAGAUACCCCAGUAGUCCCUGUCUCUUAUAC